UACGGAGGGAGCUAGCGUUGUUCGGCAUUACUGGGCGUAAAGCGCCCGUAGGCGGCGAUUUACGUCAGAGGUGAAAGCCCGGGGCUCAACCCCGGCAUAGCCUUUGAGACUGGAUUGCUUGAAUCUUGGAGAGGUGAGUGGAAUUCCGAGUGUAGAGGUGAAAUUCGUAGAUAUUCGGAAGAACACCAGUGGCGAAGGCGGCUCACUGGACAAGUAUUGACGCUGAGGUGCGAAAGCGUGGCGAGCAAACAGG
rnacentral:rRNA from 1 species